GAAAGCCGUGUGCAAUGAAAAAUGCAAGCACGAUUUGGGGAGAGGUUUUUUCUUCUUUUUUUUAACAGGGAAAUUAUCUACUCCAU
rfam:Spinacia oleracea cultivar SynViroflay scaffold2299.con0010.1, whole genome shotgun sequence.